CAUGUAUGUAUAGCAGUAUACGUGAUAUUGGCACGGCUCAAUCAAAUAACCGAGCUCUAAUCUUCUAUGGAGCACGGCUCUCUAAUUGAACCGCACCAAUAUCCCGUAUGUUUAACAGCAUC
rnacentral:pre_miRNA from 1 species